CUUAGCUGGCAAGAUGGCCGAGUGGUUAAGGCGGCACGUGGGUACUCCCGUCACGAUUCGACAUACACCAGGUGGUAUACUUACUAAAAAUCAAUAGGUUUAGGUGUUAUAUACAUCAUACAUGUAUAUAUAUAACACGCCCCGUGCUCCGCAAGGGCGUGGGUUCGAAUCCCACUCUUGUCAU